CAAUGUCCAUCGCUCCUACUUAUUGAAUGUUCUAGUGAAGUGUUCAUAUCGCAUCGAUGUGGGUGGUGUGCUACCCUCGACGUCAUGAGAAGUCCACUAAACCUUAUCAUUUAGAGAAAGUAAAAGUCGUAACAAGGUUUUCGUAGGUGAAUCUAUGGAAG
rnacentral:rRNA from 1 species